ACAAAUAGAAAUUGUCAGCCAAAGCAAAACUGAAGAAAAUUUGUGGCCACCCACUAACAAUCAAUAAUAUACAUAAAAUGCUGUUGUCUUUUAUGGGCAAGCUAUAAGAAAAGAUCCAUCAGUAGACGUGUAGUAAAAACCUGGCUAAUUAUGCAUAUAACCAGAUAUUUGAUCCAAUUCAUUGGAAAGUCUGAAGAUACUGACCAGCCUGGAUAUCCAAGGAAGACUAGCCCUGAGCUACCAUCUGUUGCCAAUCCUCCUCUUUUUGCUGAGGAAGACUGGCCCUGAGCUAACAUCCAUGCCCGUCUUCCUCUACUUUAUAUGUGGGACGCCCACCACAGCAUGGCUUGCCAAGCGGUGCCAUGUCCACACCCGGGAUCCAAACUGGCGAACCCCUGGCUGCUGAAGCGGAAUGUGCAAACUUAACCGCUGCGCCACCAGGCCGGCCCCCACACAAAACUUAUUUUUAAGAAGAGUUAAAUCUUUUUAGAAAAAUUGCUCUGUGAACUAUUAACUCAAAUGACUAAAAUUUGUAUUUGAAAAUAAUCUGUCAGAAAUUUAUCCCAAUGUUAUCACUGUUUACAAAAUAUGCUUCACAGCUCCAGAAGGAUUCUUCUCAAAAUUAAAAAUUAUUGAAAAUCAAUUGUGAUGCAUUUGUCAAAACUGAUGGACAUCAUAUUCACUUAUAUUGAUUGAAAAUGAAUUGGCUAAAGUAUACAUUUUGAUGAAUUCAUAAAUAAAGUUGUAGAAAGGUUAGUUAAAAAUCUUAUGAUCAAUCAAGAUAUCUCAUUAAUAAAGUAUUCAUUUAUUGAAU
rnacentral:lncRNA from 1 species